UACGUAGGGUGCGAGCGUUAAUCGGAAUUACUGGGCGUAAAGCGUGCGCAGGCGGUGAUGUAAGACAGUUGUGAAAUCCCCGGGCUCAACCUGGGAAUUGCAUCUGUGACUGCAUCGCUAGAGUACGGUAGAGGGGGAUGGAAUUCCGCGUGUAGCAGUGAGAUGCGUAGAUAUGCGGAGGAACACCGAUGGCGAAGGCAAUCCCCUGGACCUGUACUGACGCUCAUGCACGAAAGCGUGGGGAGCAAACAGG
rnacentral:rRNA from 1 species